rnacentral:tRNA from 1 species
AAGAAAUAUGUUAUUCAAAAUGAAACUUCUAAUUUCAAUUUUAAGCAGUGAAAUUCUGUUUAUGUUUCUUA